rnacentral:lncRNA from 1 species
CCAGCCGGGUCUGUCGAGUGCUAAAGCGUCCCUGGGCCCGUUGGAGGCUGUGGUUCCAAUUUCUUUUGCAGCAUCUGCUCGGCCCCAUGUAGGUCCUGGAUGCAGAGUGUGAGGCCGCCCCCGUCAUAGCAUAGACCUGCGCCCUCCUCACUAGACUCAUCUGCCUCCUACACUGAGUCUUCCCUUGGUCCUAUUCUUUAUUCUGUUUUUUCCCCGGGAGCCAAGGGAGUUGACCCGUGUUCUCACUGGGCCGCUGGAACCCAACAGCAUGGACAUCCCGGUUGGUGGGCACCCAGCUCUCCCCUCCGGAGGUACUGUCACACCCUCUCCCGCCUCACCGGGGGCACAGGGCCCUGCCAGACCCAGGUGAUGUCAGGAAAUGCUGUCCUCAGUCUGGAGGACCACCGAGCCACUUUCCUCCUCGGAGCCCUUCCCUCCAGCCCAGGUGGUCACACAGCUUUCACCCCGUGUCAGGUUUGCUCUUUUCUGCUUCCUGCCUUCAUUUCCUGAAUGACAUCCUUUUGAGCAUGUAUGAUGACAAGCAGGGCUGGACCCUGGGUCUGCAGCAGUGAACCGGCCCAGUCACCUGCCCUCAGGGGUCUUGCAGGAGGGCCUCCGCAUCCUCUCCCGCACUGCAGACCAGCAAGCCCCUCCCCUGCUGUGGCCUUUCCAGUAACGGCUGCUGGGAGAGAAAGUGCCAGUCGGAGAGUGAGUGUGCAGCCAGGUGGGGCCAUUUCCCCUGCGUCCACAUAGUGGCCCACCCAGCAGGACUGUCCCGUUCCUGUUUCCCCUGGUGCAUGCUCUAGGGAUGCCCCAGACGGGCCCUGCCCUCUGACCCCUGCCUGUCCGGGCUCAGCGUCCUCUGCUCCCUUUGUCCUCUGAUGCUCCAGCCCUUUCUGCCGCCCAGCCUGUGUGUGGAUCAGGGCUGUUUUGGGGGUGGGCUUAGAGGGCACGGGAUGGAAGUUGUUUGGAGGGGAGGGGCCAUAUGCAAUUUGUUUAUCAUGUGCAUUUUUUCAUUUGCCAUUCUCACUGUGAUUGAUUUGAAUGAAUUUGGCACUGUGAAAUCUGCAGAGUCAAAAAUCAAAAAGAAAAAUCAAAAGAACAUCGGCAUUGGAGGCACAUGCAAUAAAGGAGUCCAGGUGGUAGUUGGAGGUUGGAGGCUGGAAGGAACACACAGGUCUCAAAGGAAGUGGCUGAGGGAUCUGCAGAGACUCAUCUGAGCCUGUGGCUGAUGACAGGGUGUUGGGGCAGCCACGGCCGAGAGGGCCGUGCUCGGAGCCACACAGCUUUCAGUGCUCACGAGAAGGGACUGGCCCUCCCCAGGGCUGACCAAGUUCCUCAGUACUGCAUCCAGCUGUGCUCCUGGCCUCAUUUCUUCUCUCCUUCAUGAAUUAACUCCCAGACACAGCAGCCCCUGGAGGUGGUGGGGACUAACCAGGGACGGGAAAGGGUCAGUCAGCCUGUGGUCAGCAGGGUGGGCGGGUGCAGGCCUGGUGUUCCCAGGAUACUUUGCUGGGUCAUGCAGUUAUCCCCAUCACGUAUCACUCCAGCUCCCUGGCGGGCACAGCCUGUGGCUGUUCCUGGAGGCACCCCUGGAAUGAGUACAGUUCAUGGACAGGCUUCAAAACAGCCCAGAGCAAAGAUUUGGGUCUGAGGGCGGGGGCAUGGCUCUGCGGUCUUCGCCUCCACGGUUCCCUGACUUGGUCCUGCAGUUGCCCAGGAGAGGCAAGGCCACCUCCUUGUUAAGGGCUUGCUUGUUCCUGGUGGUCUCUGUCAGGAGCCCCCACCCCGCUGGCCCCAGACUCCAACACCUGUCCAGGUGUGUGAGCCAGUGUACAUCUGGCAGCAGAGAGGCCUGUACGAGCACAGCCCACAGGCCCCAGUGACGUUUGUCAAGUGUUUAUUCUAUCAACAUUCUUCAUUUCUGGCCUGAUUUCAAUCCUAGGAGGUGGGUACAAUAAGUCCAAUUCUAAAAAUAAUAAAAUGGAACAGAGACCUGAGGAGUUGGCUUCAUGAUGGGGGAUCAAUGUCCCAAUUUUAGCACCAAAGUCCUGCGACCUGGGAAGCCCUCGGUGCUGGGCAAACCAGGAUGGUUGUUGCCCUGAUUCAGGAUCACCCAGGUAAUAGGUAGAGGGCUGAAUUCAAGCCCGGCUCAGCCGCAUGGAGCCUCGGCCUGCACUCUGCACUGCUUCUGAGCGGUGCUGGGAGCAGCGCUGUCCAAGGAGCCCGGGUCAUAAAACCCAGCUGGUGAAUAGGAACCAUGUUUGUAUGUUCUAGAAGAUGAAAGAAUAGAAUUGAAUUGAAUAAUAAAGAUCAGAGUACAUUAUGCACAAUUAGGACACAUAUAUUUUAAUGAAGAAAGUAAUUUAAAUAAAAAUGUGUUUUAUUUAUGCUUAUAUAUUUUUGCUUGUGUAUAUAUGUGUGUAUAUAAUGUUUUAGAUAUACAAAUAUAUGUGUUAUAAGUAUGUUUGGUAUUUUAUUUCAUAUUUUAUAUUUAUGUUUUAUGUUGUAAAUAUGUUUAUCGGUUAUAAAUCUAUGUGAAUA